CCUACGGGAGGCAGCAGUGAGGAAUAUUGGUCAAUGGGCGCGAGCCUGAACCAGCCAAGUCGCGUGAGGGAAGACGGUCCUAUGGAUUGUAAACCUCUUUUGUCGGGGAGCAAAAGACGCCACGCGUGGCGUUCCGAGAGUACCCGAAGAAAAAGCAUCGGCUAACUCCGUGCCAGCAGCCGCGGUAAUACGGAGGAUGCGAGCGUUAUCCGGUUUUAUUGGGUUUAAAGGGUGCGCAGGCGGAAGAUCAAGUCAGCGUUAAAAUUGAGGGGCUCAACCGCUUCGGGCCGUUGAAACUGGUAUUCUUGAGUGAGUGAGAAGUAUGCGGAAUGCGUGGUGUAGCGGUGAAAUGCAUAGAUAUCACGCAGAACUCCGAUUGCGAAGGCAGCAUACCGGCGCUCAACUGACGCUCAUGCACGAAAGUGUGGGUAUCGAACAGGAUUAGAUACCCCUGUAGUC
rnacentral:rRNA from 1 species